AUGUAACAUUCUAUUAUCAGGUCUAAGGGAUGGGAAGUUAAAAAACAGAGCCGCUGAUAUUUAUAAAACACUUCAUGCAUUUAAAUCUUUAAUUUUCCUUUUUUGUGGGGGUGAAGAACGACUAACCUUGGGAAGAACAUAGAGGAAGCAUCUUCUUUCUUUGCUUGAGAAGUUAGUACUUUGCUCGGUGUUCAUCGUGGCAUUCUCUCUCCUUUUCUUUUGCAGCUGCUUCGUCCUCGUUCUUGCAUGAUGGAGCAAAUGAUUAGCGAGGAUUUAUGCUGAUGUCUGUAGUAAUUGAGGAACCAUUUUCUCCAGGAAAUCCAGGCUCCUACCUUAAAUCGAUAAUCAAUGGUAAACAGCUUUCGUUGGUUGUCAAACUUGGACUCGCAAAUGAACAAUCAGCCACCAAGCGACAUGCCUCUACAACUUUAUAAACUCCCAGCACUGAGUUGCAUUUUCUGUUUACUGACCAAUAUCAUAAGAAUGCACGUAAAGCCUCCAAAUCGCACUUUCACAAUGCAUAAUUGACCAAAAAUUCUAUAUUGUUCUGAUCAAAAUUAUUGGUCAAUGUAGCUUUACUGGUCCUGUUGAGCCAAUGAUUUCAUUUUGUGAUAAGCACUUACCAAAUAGGGAAAAACAACAGUCAAUUGUAUUUAUCACUUUGUUUCACUGGAUCGACAAAAUUGAAUGCAAAGUGACAGCAUGAGUUCAGAGCAAGCACUCGUUCAGAAACAGAAAAGACAAAACAUCCGCACCAUUUGAACAUAUAUCGAUUAACUAAUCUAACAUUCUCAGAAAAACCAAAAAACUCUCCCAUUCAAAUAUUUAGAAGUGCCUAUAACUGCAGUCUUCUGACUUGAAUGUCUUGACAAAAUGGAAAGGAACUCAUCAGCGCGAAGAUCCAUGUAUAAACAUCAAACACGAGACGUUACUGUAGCGCAUCAAACGAACAAUGAUUAGAUAAUAAGUAAAAUACAACUAUCAAAAGCAGCAUGAGACCAAUAAUGCACUCCAAGUGUAAACAGAUCAGUCUAUAGACACAAACUAUCACAUCUCAUGGUAAGAAUACAUGUCGAAGAGAUAAAAUGCAGAUCUCGGAUUCGCAAUCCACUCUAUGAGGCUAACCUUCGUGCCGAAAGGACCGACAGGAUAGUUGGCUGCGUUCUUCGGCAGGUCGUCGCUGUCCCUCGCCGAAGCUGAAGCGGAGGGCGUCGGCGUUGACGUCGGCGUCAGGGGCGAAGGCGGGGG
rnacentral:lncRNA from 1 species